UUUAUUCCGCGGUUAGCCAGUGGAGUCAAAAAGUAGAACCUACCUGGCUACCCGGUUGAUCAGCCUUCACAGCUUUCAUUCGCUUCUCAUGCUGUUCAUCCCUCAGCCAUCUUCAUCUUCGUCGUCGUCGUCGUCGUCGUCAUCUAUCUCGGCAUUCUGCAGGGUUUUCUUGUACCGUCUCCGUCCGGGGACUCUGUCUUGUAUGGCUUACACUGAUUUCCUUUAUUUGUUAUUCGCCGUCGGAGUUUGGUGUACUGCUUACAUUACUGCUGCUAUUGUUGCCUCCUUUCGAGCCAUCAAUUUUUUCCGCCUAUUUUGAACGGGAAGAAAAUCACUUGGAGUUCUGUGAAACUGCCAUGGCUUAUGCACAGCUUGUUAUAGAUCCAGCUCUUAGCAAGGAGUGUACGUUAUGUAUUGUCCCAAACUGACAACUACAUCCAGUAUGAAGAAGAGAGGCAGAUGUGAUGUGAAGGGAUUUUGAUCCAAUGAUGAUGACCCUGCUACAGAUUUUAUAUGAUAGUGUCAAAAUAUGAGCAAGCAUUAUGAAAAAGGGGUGUGUAAAGCUCAAGCGUGUAAAGACAUAAUAUUAAUAUCUCAUCAGUAGGUUUUAAUGGGAGUUCACAAAUUUAGAUCUACCAAAAUGGCACUGUUGAGCCUGUUGGAUAGAGCUGUAUUUUCAAACGACUAAUGAAUAUGAUGUUUCUUUUCAUAA